rnacentral:antisense_RNA from 1 species
AGUUUUGGCGGCUCGGCGGGAGGGCUCACGCCCUGCCGGCUUACGCAAGUGGUCCCGGUCUGUCAACCCGUUCGAGCCGCCGCCCUC